rnacentral:rRNA from 1 species
GACGAACGCUGGCGGCGUGCUUAACACAUGCAAGUCGAACGAAGUGGCGAACGGGUGAGUAAUACGUGGGUACCCUGCCCUCCUUUUUGGGAUACGCCUUGGAAACGGGUUCUAAUACCGAAUAUCGGGUGUGGGGCUCUCGGCCUAUCAGCUUGUUGGUGGGGUGAUGGCCUACCAAGGCGGUGACGGGUAGCCGGCCUGAGAGGGUGAACGGGAACAUAGGGACGGAGAUACGGCCUAGACUCCUACGGGAGGGAGCAGUGGGGGAUAUUGGACAAUGGGCGAAAGACUGAUGCAGCGACGCCGCGUGGGGGAUGAAGGCUUUCGGGUUGUAAACCUCUUGCGCGAGCGAACGGGUAGGUGGAGAAGAAGCGCCGGCUAACUACGUGCCAGCAGCCGCGGUAAUAC